CAGCUCUCCUGGGGGAUCUCCACCAUGGCCUGGGCUCUGCUCCUCCUCACCCUCCUCACUCAGGGCUCCGGUUCCUGGGCCCAGGCUCCGCUGACUCAGCCGCCCUCAGUGUCUGGGACUCCUGGCCAGUCGGUCACCAUCACCUGUGCUGGAAGCAGCAAUGAUGUUGGUAGUUAUAAUGAUGUCUCUUGGUACCAACAACAAGCUGGAAUGGCCCCCAAACUCCUGAUUUAUGAUGUCAGCAGUCGGCCCUCGGGGAUCCCUGACCGCUUCUCUGGCAGCAAGUCCGGCAACACGGCCUCCCUGACCAUCUCUGGGCUCCAGCCUGAGGACGAGGCGGAUUAUUACUGUACUUCGUAUAGCAGCAGUAGCACUAGACACAGUGGUGCAAGUUCAUGGGGAACUGGGUCACAGCGCAGUGGGAAGGGGUCUCUGCUACUGGAGACCCAGGAGAAGGUCUAG